UACGGAGGGUGCUAGCGUUGUUCGGAAAUACUGGGCGUAAAGCGCACGUAGGCGGCGCAGCAAGUCAGGGGUGAAAUCCCGGGGCUCAACCCCGGAACUGCCCUUGAAACUGCAGUGCUAGAAUCUUGGAGAGGCGAGUGGAAUUCCGAGUGUAGAGGUGAAAUUCGUAGAUAUUCGGAAGAACACCAGUGGCGAAGGCGACUCGCUGGACAAGUAUUGACGCUGAGGUGCGAAAGCGUGGGGAGCAAACAGG
rnacentral:rRNA from 1 species